rnacentral:rRNA from 1 species
AAUGGAUGGGACAAAGGAUCUCGAUCCCGUGAGGGUGAGCUAAUUCCAAAAAUCCGUCCUCAGUUCGGAUUGUAGGCUGCAACUCGCCUGCAUGAAG